AGUGAAAUGAUGAAUACAACAGGUGUAGUAGACCUUACAGUGAAAUGCUGAAUACAACAGGUGUAGUAGACCUCACAGUGAAAUGAUGAAUACAACAGGUGUAGUAGACCUUACAGUGAAAUGAUGAAUACAACAGGUGUAGUAGACCUCACAGUGAAAUGAUGAAUACAACAGGUGUAGUAGACCUCACAGUGAAAUGAUGAAUACAACAGGUGUAGUAGACCUUACAGUGAAAUGAUGAAUACAACAGGUGUAGUAGACCUUACAGUGAAAUGAUGAAUACAACAGGUGUAGUAGAAUGUUAAAUGCUUACUUACAGGCUCUAACCACUGGUGCGGGAAAAAAGGUGUGUGUAGGUAAGUAAAUAAAUAAAACAGUAAAAAGACAUUUGAAAAAUGAGUAGUGUCUGGCCUGGGGAUAUGUAUGUAGGUUUAUGACGGUCAUAAAUACCUCUCCCACCUUUUUCCUCUCUCUACCCUACUGAUGUUACAUUUGCAAACCCCUUGGUUAACAUAGAGAUUCUGGGAACAUCAGAGGAUGGGGGGGAAAUGAACUAUAUUCUUGUAAUCCGACCAAUUGAACAUAUGCGGUGGUACUUAAUGAAUAUGAUAUCAGUUCGGUUGUCAUCUGAGACAUUCUCAUCAAUGAUAAGAUGACAUAAACUUUACAGUGGAAAGUCUACACAUUAUAGUUAUCGGAUUCACAUGGAAUUGUUGUGCAAC
ensembl:lncRNA